rnacentral:tRNA from 1 species
GUCAAGGGCAGUUCAGUGGUAGAAUUCUUGACUUACAUGCAAGAGACCCAGGUUCUGUUCCUGGCCAUUACA